AUUGAACGCUGGCGGCAGGCCUAACACAUGCAAGUCGAACGAGUGGCGGACGGGUGAGUAAUGUCUGGGAAACUGCCCGAUGGAGGGGGAUAACUACUGGAAACGGUAGCUAAUACCGCAUACCAUGGGUUGGGCCCAGAUGGGAUGAGCUAGUCGGGGGGGUAACGGCUCACCUAGGCGACGAUCCUUAGCUGGGCUGAGAGGCUGACCAGCCACACUGGAACUGAGACACGGGCCAGACUCCUACGGGAGGCAGCAGUGGGGAAUAUUGCACAAUGGGCGCAAGCCUGAUGCAGCCAUGCCGCGUGUAUGAAGAAGGCCUUCGGGUUGUAAAGUACUUUCAGCGAGGAGGCGUUACUCGCAGAAGAAGCACCGGCUAACUCCGUGCCAGCAGCCGCGGUAAUUC
rnacentral:rRNA from 1 species